rnacentral:tRNA from 1 species
AUGGCUCANUGGUAGAGUAUUUGACUAGCAUUCAUGAGGCCCUGGGUUCAAUCCCCAGU